CCCCCCAGAGACCCCGUGUGCAGGAUAAGCGGUUUGAAGAUGGACGGAUGCAGGACUGAAGUAAGUUAGCGCUGCGGGCUAGAAAAUACGGCCUGUGCUUCACUCCAAUUAUUAUCCAGCAUGCUGAAGGAGAUCAAACUGAUCAACUGGUCCUCGUAAAGUAGACACGCCUGAGACAGCUUCCACGGUGAGAAUCAGACUGAAAGCUUGUGGGGGAAACACACUUCGACGUGAAACAUCUGACACUGAGUGGCGGCUGCUGGUAAGAAGUGUUAAAAAUAUUCAGGUUUUAGUGAAGAUAAAUAUGUUUGUGAAGUAGGUGAACAUUUUAAGUGGACAAAUGACCCUUAGAAAACUGCAGCCCUGACUCUUUUAUUGUUUUAUACAAACCGCCCAGUCUGUGACCUCCGGUUCUUUAAAGUGAGUUCAUUGCUUCAUGUGCCGAAGCUGCAUUCUCUGUAGUGACCAGCAGGGGGCGACUCCUCUGCUCCCAUAGACGUCGAUGAGGAAAUGACUCUACUUCUCUGUAGUGACCAGCAGGGGGCGACUCCUCUGCUCCCAUAGACGUCUAUGAGGAAAUGACUCUACUUCUCUGUAGUGACCAGCAGGGGGCGACUCCUCUGCUCCCAUAGACGUCUAUGAGGAAAUGACUCUACUUCUCUGUAGUGACCAGCAGGGGGCGACUCCUCUGCUCCCAUAGACGUCUAUGAGGAAAUGACUCUACUUCUCUCUUGAUUUAUUCCAUCAGUAAACAUUGUAAACAUGAGUUUAUGGUCUCAGUGUCCGGUUUCAUGUUCAUUUAAUACAUUUUGGUCCAUUUAGAAUCUUACAGACAGUAAGGGAAUACUUUAGGGCGGGGCUAGCUUGUGAUUGACAGGUGUCUACCAGCGUGAUAAUAGGGUGCCUCUUCCUGAACUUCCUCCGCAG
ensembl:lncRNA